rnacentral:rRNA from 1 species
GAUGAACGCUGGCGGCGUGCCUAAUACAUGCAAGUCGAGCGAACAGACGAGGAGCUUGCUCCUCUGACGUUAGCGGCGGACGGGUGAGUAACACGUGGAUAACCUACCUAUAAGACUGGGAUAACUUCGGGAAACCGGAGCUAAUACCGGAUAAUAUAUUGAACCGCAUGGUUCAAUAGUGAAAGACGGUUUUGCUGUCACUUAUAGAUGGAUCCGCGCCGCAUUAGCUAGUUGGUAAGGUAACGGCUUACCAAGGCGACGAUGCGUAGCCGACCUGAGAGGGUGAUCGGCCACACUAGAACUGAGACACGGUCCAGACUCCUACGGGAGGCAGCAGUAGGGAAUCUUCCGCAAUGGGCGAAAGCCUGACGGAGCAACGCCGCGUGAGUGAUGAAGGUCUUCGGAUCGUAAAGCUCUGUUAUUAGGGAAGAACAAAUGUGUAAGUAACUAUGCACGUCUUGACGGUACCUGAUCAGAAAGCCACGGCUAACUACGUG